GCGUGGGUAGUGCAAAGGUUUAGCACUUGCUCCCGGAAAGGGUGAGACGUGUGUUCAAAUCCCAGCUGACGGA